GCAUGAAUGGUGUAGCGGUAACAUUCAACCCUUCCAUGACUGUGUUCGGCUAGGAUGACGAUCGGUUAGGUUGAGCUCGGGGUUCGACUCCCCGUUCAUGCA